GACGAACGCUGGCGGCGUGCCUAAUACAUGCAAGUAGAACGCUGAAGGAGGAGCUUGCUUCUCCGGAUGAGUUGCGAACGGGUGAGUAACGCGUAGGUAACCUGCCUGGUAGCGGGGGAUAACUAUUGGAAACGAUAGCUAAUACCGCAUAACAGUAGAUGUUGCAUGACAUUUGCUUAAAAGGUGCAAUUGCAUCACUACCAGAUGGACCUGCGUUGUAUUAGCUAGUUGGUGAGGUAACGGCUCACCAAGGCGACGAUACAUAGCCGACCUGAGAGGGUGAUCGGCCACACUGGGACUGAGACACGGCCCAGACUCCUACGGGAGGCAGCAGUAGGGAAUCUUCGGCAAUGGACGGAAGUCUGACCGAGCAACGCCGCGUGAGUGAAGAAGGUUUUCGGAUCGUAAAGCUCUGUUGUAAGAGAAGAACGAGUGUGAGAGUGGAAAGUUCACACUGUGACGGUAUCUUACCAGAAAGGGACGGCUAACUACG
rnacentral:rRNA from 1 species